rnacentral:rRNA from 1 species
UCGAUGUCGGCUCUUCGCCACCUGGGGCGGAAGUACGUUCCAAGGGUUGGGCUGUUCGCCCAUUAAAGCGGUACGUGAGCUGGGUUCAGAACGUMRACAACCUGYSKKGSCUKRYMCKRWKGWSGMCUUAGAAUCRGVUUAUGWSSSUGAAUUCUUUUUAAUKACCAACCGASUGAMAUGGUUAUASCRSGGAAGACUCUAUGAACACAAUACAAUAACUCAGUUGCAAAAAGAAAUAUUAUAUCGCUGUUUGCUUUUUUUUCAAGAUUGAGAUGGUUGCAUAAAUAUACAAAUUGUUGCAAUGAAGAAUUAUCAACGUCGUCAUUGGUUUCUUCUGUAGCUCAACAGUAAACUUCAAUAUGGUACCGUUCAACAACGUCCCGAUGGAAUAUCAGAAUAUGCCAUAGUUAGAUCUAAGAAUGUUCAGUCAAUCUUAGAAUUGCUGAAACCAAUGCUUAGAUGAAAGCGUAAACAAGCUGAGUUGAUAUUCCUAAGUUAUGUGAAUUGGUAGAUACUUUGGCUGAAAUUAAUGAUUGGAAAAAAAGAAUGGACAAUUACUGCUUCAAUUUCUCAAUUUCAACUUUUUGAAAGGUUUCUUGCUAGGAAGCUAAAUCCAGAUUCAAGCCAAGCCAAAAAUUGAUAGAGUCCCCGUAGAGACUGAGACCUAAUUUAACAACGGG